UUAAAUUGAAGAGUUUGAUCAUGGCUCAGAUUGAACGCUGGCGGCAGGCCUAACACAUGCAAGUCGAACGGUAACAGGAAUCAGCUUGCUGAUUCGCUGACGAGUGGCGGACGGGUGAGUAAUGUCUGGGAAACUGCCUGAUGGAGGGGGAUAAC
rnacentral:rRNA from 1 species